AUGGUUCAAAUCCUGGCUCCGCCCCUGCUCAAAGCAUGGGAGUCGCCACUCCCUCUCGAUCAGUUCUUGACCACCCAUGCACGCUCGGUGCGAGCCAUGUUUUGCUACUUUAACUUCACCCAGGUUAACGCCGAUCUCCUCCGCCUGCUACCGGCAUUGGAACUUGUGGUGACUCCCACUGUCGGUGUCAACCACAUCGACUUGACAGAGUGCAGGAGGCGUGGAAUAUCCGUAGCCAAUGCCGGAGCUGCAUACUCAGAAGAUGUUGCUGAUUGUGCUGUAGGUUUGUUCAUUGAUGUGCACAGAAGGCUUUCAGCUGCAGAUCUAUAUAUCAGACAACGGGGCAUCGGCACACCAGAUGAUCGUCGUAAUUUUCCUCUAACUGGUAGCAAGGUGGCAAGCGAGGGGAUUGUUGGAUUGGGAAGCAUCGGCUAUGAAGUCGCUAAAAGACUUGAGGCCUUUGGGUGCAGUAUCUCAUACAACACAAGGAGAGAAAAGCCAUGCGUAUCAUACCCCUUCUAUUCCGAUGUAUGUGAACUUGCAGCUAACAAUGAUUCCCGCAUCAUCUGUUGUGCCUUAACAGUCCAAACGCACCACCUCAUCAACAAGCAAGUCUUAUCGGCACUCGGAAGAGAUUGUCAACGUAGGGCGCGGGGCUGUCAUUGAUGAGAAGGAACUGGUGAGGUGUUUGGUGCACGGAGAGAUUAGAGGUGCUGGUUUGGAUGUGUUUGAGGAUGAGCCUCAUGUUCCUAAGGUGCUGUUUGGAUUAGACAACGUUGUUCUUUCCCCGCAUACAGCUGCUUUUACUCCUCAAUCUUUCCAGACUGAGAAUGAUGUGAUGGUGGCCAAUUUGGAAGCUUUCUUCUCUGAUCAACCUUUGGUUACUCCGUUCAUAGAUGACUAUUAUGCAUCAUACAUAUGAUCUGGGUUAUGUGGUUUGGUACAAGCCUCAAGUGUGGAUGAAAUUGGGCUAGCUUCUCUGGAAACGAUUGCUCUCUUCUUUUUUAAGGGUUAAGGUU